rnacentral:rRNA from 1 species
GGGGAUAGCCUUUGGAAACGAAGAAUAAUACCCUAUAAAACCAUAAAAGCACAUGCUAGAAUGGUCAAAGUGAUAGCGGUGUAAGAUGGACUUGCGUCUGAUUAGCUAGUUGGUGAGAUAAAAGCUCACCAAGGCAACGAUCAGUAGCCGGCUUGAGAGGGUGAUCGGCCACACUGGAACUGAGACACGGUCCAG